rnacentral:ncRNA from 1 species
UUAAAAGCGUUGACGGAGACAGUACUCCAAACAAUUCGACAAAGCGAGCCGGGGACAGUGAGAGCCUGGUGAUGAAUGUUUUGAGGAAAAUCACUCUUGAGCAGAAUUGGGGAAUCGAUUAGUACCCAGUUCCGUAUCCACCACGUUACGGUGUUCGAGUGGCAGCUAAGCGCUGCAACAAGGGUGGUACCGCGAGUUUAGCUUCUCGUCCCUUUC